GUAAUGCCUACAGCAGACGCAACCCUGAAGCAGUAUCACAUAACGGAAGUGUAUCUUUCAAAAAUAUUUUAUUUUCUGGGGAACACAAAUGGAGUCUGUCCUUUAGGAAGAGAAGUCUUAGGAUUAUUCCAUGACAGCCUCCUAAGUGGUCAGCUGUAUGAAGAUGAAGCUGUAUAUGUCCUUCCCAGUCACCAGCUAUCAGAAAUACACUGAAAAACACAUCAAAGUGGGUGAUGAAUGCCAAACUGUACUUUCUAUGAGAAACAUGAGGCCACAGGAGUAGCUGCUGAUGCUCUGGUGAAGAGUGGAAGGGUUGAUUAUGUGGUCUGAAUCAGUGGUGGGAACGGCACCCAAGGCUUUCCCAUGAAGCAAGGUAUCUUGGCUCAUGUCAGAGUGCACCUGAUUCUCGUUAUUGACCAAGGAGAGCUGGAGAGAGGAAGCACAAGUUUGUUUGGCGUUGUGGAUGUCAAUCUGAGUUCUCAGUUUGGGGAGAAGGAUAUUCCUAGACUGACAGAUACUUCAGCAGUUGGGGCCCAAAUGGGCCAGCAGAAUCCCAAAGCUGUUCCAUCUGUCUAAAGAAGAUGAUGCCUGUCUUCUUUAGGUAAGUUGUCGGAAAGUCCUUAAACACAGAAGGUAAGCCCGGAACCAAAGCACCGGAGUUCAGAGUCUUGUCGUUCCACUUGUCCUGCAAUGCCAAAAUACUGCUCUGAAGAAACAACCCAUUAAGAAAAACAAGGAGGUUGCAAAAUAUCCUAAACUUCUGGCCAAGAGAAGGAAGGAAGCCAAAGAAAAAUGCCAAGAACAGAUUGCCAAGAGAUGUAGGCUAUCUUCACUGAGAGCUUCUAUUUCUGAGUCCCAGUCAAAGGGACAGGAUCUCAUUAUAUAACCCCGGAUGGCCCAGAAUCCACUAUGUAAAACCAGGUUGGCUUUGAACUCACAGAAAUGUGCCUCCGUCUGCCUGUUGAGUGCUGGGAUUAAAGGCAUGCACCACCA